GAUGAACGCUGGCGGCGUGCCUAAUACAUGCAAGUCGAGCGAAGCGGGGACGGGUGAGUAACACGUGGAUAACCUCCUAUAAGACUGGGAUAACUUCGUGAAACCGGAGCUAAUCCGGAUACUUAUCGAUGGAUCCGCUCUGCAUUAGCUAGUUGGUAAGGUAACGGCUUCCCAAGGCAACGAUCCAUAUCCGACCUGAGAGGGUGAGCGGCCAAACUGGAACUGAGAAACGGUCCAGACUCCUACGGGAGGCAGCAGUAGGGAAUCUUCCGCAAUGGGAGAAAGCCUGACGGAGCAACGCCGCGUGAGUGAUGAAGGUCUUCGGAUCGUAAAACACUGUUAUUAGGGAAGCGGUACCUGAUCAGAAAGCCACGGCUAACUACGUGCCAGCAGCCGCGGUAAUUC
rnacentral:rRNA from 1 species